rnacentral:tRNA from 1 species
GCCUUGAUGGUGUAAUGGUAACACGGGUCACUAGUAAUGACUUGCUCUCAGUUCGAUUCUGGGUCGAGGCA